CAAAUUUACAACAAAUACCUAAUUAUCAGACAGGUCAUUUCAGUAACGUCUCAAAAUCUGGGGUUAUUUGCUAUAUAAAUUAAAACUUGUGGUGGUGAAUCUUCACUUAACUAGUGGAAGGUCCAUGCAAUAUAAUUGAUCACAAUCAUGAUAUUUAGGCUGGAUAUCGAUAUUUUUAUAAAAAAAUAUUACUUGCAAAACUAACGGUUCAGAGGAGUGAUACAUGUGAUGUCACCAACAUCCUCGUAUUCGUUUUUGAACGAUCAACAUCCUCGUAUUAAAAAAACCCCUUCAUUUGAGAUAUGUUUCCCCCGA
rnacentral:lncRNA from 1 species